GAAUCUUGGACAAUGGGCGAAAGCCUGAUCCAGCAAUGCCGCGUGCAGGAUGAAGGCCUUCGGGUUGUAAACUGCUUUUGUACGGAACGAAAAGCUUUGGGUUAAUACCCUGGAGUCAUGACGGUACCCAAAGAAUAAGCACCGGCUAACUUCGUGCCCGCCGCCGCGGUAAUACGAAGGGUGCAAGCGUUAAUCGGAAUUACUGGGCGUAAAGCGCGCGUAGGUGGUUUGUUAAGUUGGAAGUGAAAGCCCCGGGCUCAACCUGGGAACUGCUUUCAAAACUGGCAAGCUAGAGUAUGGCAGAGGGUGGUGGAAUUCCGCGUGUAGCAGUGAAAUGCGUAGAUAUGCGGAGGAACACCGAUGGCGAAGGCAACCCCCUGGGCCUGUACUGACGCUCAUGCACGAAAGCGUGGGGGGCAAACAGG
rnacentral:rRNA from 1 species